GUAGAGCACUGUUUCGGCAAGGGGGUCAUCCCGACUUACCAACCCGAUGCAAACUGCGAAUACCGGAGAAUGUUAUCACGGGAGACACACGGCGGGUGCUAACGUCCGUCGUGAAGAGGGAAACAACCCAGACCGCCAGCUAAGGUCCCAAAGUCAUGGUUAAGUGGGAAACGAUGUGGGAAGGCCCAGACAGCCAGGAUGUUGGCUUAGAAGCAGCCAUCAUUUAAAGAAAGCGUAGUAGCUCACUGGUCGAGUCGGCCUGCGCGGAAGAUGUAACGGGGCUAAACCAUGCACCGAAGCUGCGGCAGCGACGCUGAUGCGUUGUUGGGUAGGGGAGCGUUCUGUAAGCCUGUGAAGGUGUGCUGUGAGGCAUGCUGGAGGUAUCAGAAGUGCGAAUGCUGACAUAAGUAACGAUAAAGCGGGUGAAAAGCCCGCUCGCCGGAAGACCAAGGGUUCCUGUCCAACGUUAAUCGGGGCAGGGUGAGUCGACCCCUAAGGCGAGGCCGAAAGGCGUAGUCGAUGGGAAACAGGUUAAUAUUCCUGUACUUGGUGUUACUGCGAAGGGGGGACGGAGAAGGCUAUGUUGGCCGGGCGACGGUUGUCCCGGUUUAAGCGUGUAGGCUGGUUUUCCAGGCAAAUCCGGAAAAUCAAGGCUGAGGCGUGAUGACGAGGCACUACGGUGCUGAAGCAACAAAUGCCCUGCUUCCAGGAAAAGCCUCUAAGCAUCAGGUAACAUCAAAUCGUACCCCAAACCGACACAGGUGGUCAGGUAGAGAAUACCAAGGCGCUUGAGAGAACUCGGGUGAAGGAACUAGGCAAAAUGGUGCCGUAACUUCGGGAGAAGGCACGCUGAUAUGUAGGUGAAGUCCCUCGCGGAUGGAGCUGAAAUCAGUCGAAGAUACCAGCUGGCUGCAACUGUUUAUUAAAAACACAGCACUGUGCAAACACGAAAGUGGACGUAUACGGUGUGACGCCUGCCCGGUGCCGGAAGGUUAAUUGAUGGGGUUAGCCGCAAGGCGAAGCUCUUGAUCGAAGCCCCGGUAAACGGCGGCCGUAACUAUAACGGUCCUAAGGUAGCGAAAUUCCUUGUCGGGUAAGUUCCGACCUGCACGAAUGGCGUAAUGAUGGCCAGGCUGUCUCCACCCGAGACUCAGUGAAAUUGAACUCGCUGUGAAGAUGCAGUGUACCCGCGGCAAGACGGAAAGACCCCGUGAACCUUUACUAUAGCUUGACACUGAACAUUGAGCCUUGAUGUGUAGGAUAGGUGGGAGGCUUUGAAGUGUGGACGCCAGUCUGCAUGGAGCCGACCUUGAAAUACCACCCUUUAAUGUUUGAUGUUCUAACGUUGACCCGUAAUCCGGGUUGCGGACAGUGUCUGGUGGGUAGUUUGACUGGGGCGGUCUCCUCCUAAAGAGUAACGGAGGAGCACGAAGGUUGGCUAAUCCUGGUCGGACAUCAGGAGGUUAGUGCAAUGGCAUAAGCCAGCUUGACUGCGAGCGUGACGGCGCGAGCAGGUGCGAAAGCAGGUCAUAGUGAUCCGGUGGUUCUGAAUGGAAGGGCCAUCGCUCAACGGAUAAAAGGUACUCCGGGGAUAACAGGCUGAUACCGCCCAAGAGUUCAUAUCGACGGCGGUGUUUGGCACCUCGAUGUCGGCUCAUCACAUCCUGGGGCUGAAGUAGGUCCCAAGGGUAUGGCUGUUCGCCAUUUAGAGUGGUACGCGAGCUGGGUUUAGAACGUCGUGAGACAGUUCGGUCCCUAUCUGCCGUGGGCGCUGGAGAACUGAGGGGGGCUGCUCCUAGUACGAGAGGACCGGAGUGGACGCAUCACUGGUGUUCGGGUUGUCAUGCCAAUGGCACUGCCCGGUAGCUAAAUGCGGAAGAGAUAAGUGCUGAAAGCAUCUAAGCACGAAACUUGCCCCGAGAUGAGUUCUCCCUGACUCCUUGAGAGUCCUGAAGGAACGUUGAAGACGACGACGUUGAUAGGCCGGGUGUGUAAGCGCAGCGAUGCGUUGAGCUAACCGGUACUAAUGAACCGUGAGGCUUAACCUU
rnacentral:rRNA from 1 species